UGGGGAAUAUUGGACAAUGGGGGCAACCCUGAUCCAGCCAUGCCGCGUGUGUGAAGAAGGCCUUUUGGUUGUAAAGCACUUUAAGCAGGGAGGAGAGGCUAAUGGUUAAUACCCAUUAGAUUAGACGUUACCUGCAGAAUAAGCACCGGCUAACUCUGUGCCAGCAGCCGCGGUAAUACAGAGGGUGCGAGCGUUAAUCGGAAUUACUGGGCGUAAAGCGAGUGUAGGUGGCUCAUUAAGUCACAUGUGAAAUCCCCGGGCUUAACCUGGGAACUGCAUGUGAUACUGGUGGUGCUAGAAUAUGUGAGAGGGAAGUAGAAUUCCAGGUGUAGCGGUGAAAUGCGUAGAGAUCUGGAAGGAAUACCGAUGGCGAAGGCAGCUUCCUGGCAUAAUAUUGACACUGAGAUUCGAAAAGCGUGGGUAGCAAAACAGGAUUAGAUACCCUGGUAGUCCANGCCGUAAAACGAUGUCUACUAGCNUGGGUCUUGAGACUUUAGUGGCGCAG
rnacentral:rRNA from 1 species